GAAGAGAUAGUUUAUGUGAGAAUACUGUUUUUGUAAAACAGGGGUAUUUUGUUAUGAUUCUUUUCA
rnacentral:tRNA from 1 species